UGGGGAAUAUUGCGCAAUGGGCGAAAGCCUGACGCAGCAACGCCGCGUGGGGGAUGAAGGUUCUCGGAUUGUAAACCCCUUUCGAUCGGAACGAAUCCCCUCCUGGUAAAUAAUCAGGAGGAUCGACGGUACCGAGAGAAGAAGCCACGGCUAACUCUGUGCCAGAAGCCGCGGUAAGACAGAGGUGGCGAGCGUUGUGCGGAUUUAUUGGGCGUAAAGCGAACGCAGGCGGUUUGGUAAGUCAGAGGUGAAAGACCACAGCUUAACUGUGGCACUGCCUUUGAUACUGCCUUUCUGGAGUGCAUGAGGGGGAAGCGGAAUUCCGAGUGUAGAGGUGAAAUUCGUAGAUAUUCGGAGGAACACCGGUGGCGAAGGCGGCUUCCUGGCAUGUAACUGACGCUCAUGUUCGAAAGCGUGGGUAGCAAACA
rnacentral:rRNA from 1 species